UAAUAUUUUGGAGAACUGAAACUGUCAGACUCACCCUCAAGUAACAGCAAGUGGGAGACUGAAAACGACAUAAGAAGAAAUCGUUUCACUAUCCACUUUAAGUUCAUUUCAGAGUCCGAAAGGAAGUCCUGCUGAAACGUUAACGGUGCAUCUCAAUUUGUCCCGGUAGGAAAGGAUUUAGGUAUGUUUGGUAGCACCGGGACGACGCCUGGUCGUGUCUGGAAAACCUACCUGGUGGCCACAGCCCCCCCCUGAGCAGAUGACGAGUAGCCUUCACCUGGUUGGGCAGGUUUUUGGCCUCCAGAAUCACCACUGUCAGCUUCCCUGCAGUAGGCACAUAUCUCAAGGACAAACAUAUGUCUCCAAGCCGCUCGCUCUGAUACAGAGAAAAAGAAGUCCCUCCACUCCUGCAGAGACUGGCUGAAGUCCACACUGCUCAUCGGGAUCUUCACAGCUCCUAUGGCAUCAUGCUUUGAGAAACGGUCAAAGUCGUACACAGUCAUCACCAGUGUCUUCCCGCCCAACUCAGUGUAUGGUACCUGUAAUACAGAACAUGCAUCAAAGACAGUAAUUUGAAUCAUAACGUGUUAUUUGUAAUAGUGAAUCCGGUAAGGAUAAAUAACACAUUUUUUAUUUAUCUUGUAGUUUUAAUUUACCUUAAAUGUGAAAGUCUCAUUGAAGCUGGGUUCAAGGGUCUUUCUGUGAACUUUGGUUUCAAACUUUUUCUUUUUGUCUGGGAGCAGAUAGAGUUUAACAUAAGGGUCAGAACUACCUCCCACAUCCAUGGCAGGAAGCUCUGCAGCCUGCAAGAUGCCCACUACCAGCUGGAAUUUGAUAGCAGAGGAAAGUAAUACAAAAAAAUGAGAAUCUGGCUAAUUGAAAGUUGGAAGAGCGCGUUAAAAUUUGAUAUUUAGAGUUGGCAGAUGGCAGGCAAAAAUGAAUAGCAGCAUCUUACCAUAUUAUCUGUGAAGUUGUAGUCUAAUGUGAAAUGUAGUCUGCCCAGCUUCUCUUCCUCCUUGGGCUCAUUAUUUGACAGCUCUGUUUCUUUGUUACCUUCAUCUUUCAGCGGCUGCACACACAGAGACACACAUACACACAACAUACAGUAAUCUAUGAAAACCUUCUGUCUCAAAAUAUGUUGGAGCAGCUAUUUUUGCUGUGUUCCUACAGUAUAUUGUAUAGUAUUAUACAGGCAGAGGCAAUUAAACAAAGAUAAUGUGACCAUAAUGUUUAUUUGUUGUUUAAAAGGGACAGGCAAAUUUUACACCAUCAAUGUGUUUAAAUGCAACUUAUAUUUUUGAUGACACUCCAAAACAACUAAUCUCAGACCUCAAUUAAACCACAGCAUUGGCGAAAACAAAAACAUCCAUUAGUUCUAACACACACUGACAGUUUUACUAGUCCGGGGUGACCUGAAUGUCAUGACUGUGAUACAUUGGAAGGACGAUACAUCUGCAGGAGAGAGGGAGACUCUUUGUCUGUGUGUGUGUGUGUGGUUGUGUGUGUGUGUGUGUGUGUGCGUGCGUGCGUGCGUGUGUGUUUGCGUGUGUAGCCUACCUCAUUGUAACCUCCAUCCAUUUCGGUGUCAAACCCUCCCCUGCUCUUCUCUUUUCCCGUUUUCUUGUCCUUUUCUUUGUCCUUGUCCUUCUUUUUCAAGCACUUCUUCCAUAAACACACAGCACACGACAGCACCACGCACAAAAUCACGAUACAAAGGGCAGCAACAGCCCACGAUGGCACUGCAAAUCCACAUGAAACACACACACAUACAGUAGAUUAGACAUGAUUAACAUACAUGCACUCUUAGUCAGCCACUUCAACUCAAUGUUAAAAAUGUUAACCAUAAAUCUCCCCUUAACUAGCUUUUAAGUAAGAGAUAUGACAUUUGACACUGUCUGAAAACACUACAUACUGUAUACAGGCCAUGAAAAAAAUAUCAGGGAAAGGCAAUUUGAUCCAAUCCAGUACUCCUGUAAUAAAUGCUAUUGUCAGAGAGAUGUUAAUUGUAAUCUGUAGUAAUUUUUAGUCCAUAUUUUGUGGUGAUGUUAUACUGUAUUACAGUAAAUUGUAAGGUAUUGCCCUUUGUCAAAUCCAUGAUGACAUUUUUAAUGACUUGCAAUUUUGAUUUUCAUUUAAAUCCAAUAUGACAUUUUUAAUGACUUGCAAUUUUGACUUUCUGAUAUAAAUGCACAUAGCAUUACAAGCAGUAUGCAUAUAAAAGUCUAGCAUGUCUGAACUAAUGAAAAGGAAUAUAAGGAAGAACGAAAAGAUAAUGCACUUCUACCAGGGAGAUAACUGUCCUGUAUGCACUUUUAAACAUAGUCUAUCCCAUAUGAGCAAAUACUUGUCUUGCCUUUUCGUAUGCAGUGUGACCCUUCCUCUUUCAGUCACAUGUUCCUGAAAACAAGACACUUUCAACACCUUUACUUCCUUAGGAUAAUUUGACAUCCAAUCAUUUUAGUUGUCAAAGAACAUAUCUGCAAUCUUACUUUAACUCUUCAAAAAGCUUUGAGUUUUGGGCCAGGCCCACAGUGCAUUCAGUUGAGUACCUUCAGUCCAGUAUUUCCAACAUGCUACUGUUAAGAAUAAUUUACAUUGUAUGAGUUGCUGAGUUGCUGUGUCAUUCAUAUUCCUUUAACAAAGGCUACAGCAGUGUUAUUCCCCUCUAAUUGCCAUGAAGUAUACUUUACCGUCUCACAUUCUUACAAAAUUAUCCUCUGGCUCCGGUGCUUGGAUAUGUUUCCCAAAUAUACUCUAUGUCAUAAUUAUUAACGUUAAUCCAUGGGGAGGAACAUUUAGUUAGGUGUCUAACUCACAGUGGAUACUGCGCAGUUCACUCGUGAACUUGUUGGGACUGUGGCCUCCAGAUUGUUUUUGGCCUGGGGUGGUUAUUGCAUUUGGCAAGUGGGUUGCGGUAGCUGGGGUGCCUGGUGCAGCCGGGGCAGCUCGACGGGUCCCAGUCAUUAUUUGAUGAUUGACAGAGGUACCAGAAUUAAACUGGCUGUGAAACAGAGAUGCAGGAAAAGGUGAGUCAGCCCUAAAAAAAAAAUGCCAAAAUGCAGAAUAUAUAGAACAUUAUACUUUACUUAUUACUUAUUAUACAAAAAAGAAACAGGUACACUUGUAAACACCCUCCAUAUGUGCAAAAAACUAAACUGGGGAACCAUCUAAACAAUCCAUCUAAUAACACAUACAGACCAAAGCAGAGUUACCAUAAAUUCCACUGAAGGAUGUAUUUGAGGCAAUAAUGUGCUUAUAGACAAAGUAUGACCAUUAGUGUUAAAUGACUUCUCCUGUUUCUGCUGGUGUGGCACUAACACUUGAACACAGGAUAUGCAAACCGCAGUCUCUGCCAAACCUACUGACAUGGAGGUGAGAGGGAAGGAGGAGAGGAAGGGGAGAGGUAGAGUUGAAGCAUCACGCGUGGACCUUUGCUGUUCCACAGUGAGCUGCCAGAGUUGAUAAUAGUGCCAAGGUCAUGUUCAGUGCAGGUUAACAGACUAUAUGAGAAAAAAGUCUCAAAACCGAGACUUGUCUCCCAAGUGAAAUAAUGUUUUUGAUAUGUUAUUUUGUAUUCUGCAGACAUCACAGGUAUUGAGUAUCUUGGGCUGAAUCAGCAGAUGUGAUCUCACACAGAAGCAGACCGAACUGUUACUGUUAAAUAUCCUGCUUUUUCAGGAUACUUUUCCUUAAAAGAUAGGAGCUUAAACAGAAACCCUCAUUGAUACACUAACAGCAGAAGGAGGAAACAGUAAAAUUCAAGAUACAUCCAAAGGGAUGGCCAAAACAUGUUACGGUUGUCUGAUACUGACCAUGUUGUAAUGUAUUUUUAAAAAUAUUUCAGAUUCUGAUGUGCUUUUGUGAAAGUGUAACUAAGUGAAUAAUUCAAAGAUUUUAUCUUUUAAUAUGCAAAUA